AACGAACGCUGGCGGCGUGGAUAAGACAUGCAAGUCGAACGAGAGAAUUGCUAGCUUGCUAAUAAUUCUCUAGUGGCGCACGGGUGAGUAACACGUGAGUAACCUGCCCCCGAGAGCGGGAUAGCCCUGGGAAACUGGGAUUAAUACCGCAUAGUAUCGAAAGAUUAAAGCAGCAAUGCGCUUGGGGAUGGGCUCGCGGCCUAUUAGUUAGUUGGUGAGGUAACGGCUCACCAAGGCGAUGACGGGUAGCCGGUCUGAGAGGAUGUCCGGCCACACUGGAACUGAGACACGGUCCAGACACCUACGGGUGGCAGCAGUCGAGAAUCAUUCACAAUGGGGGAAACCCUGAUGGUGCGACGCCGCGUGGGGGAAUGAAGGUCUUCGGAUUGUAAACCCCUGUCAUGUGGGAGCAAAUUAAAAAGAUAGUACCACAAGAGGAAGAGACGGCUAACUCUGUGCCAGCAGCCGCGGUAAUACAGAGGUCUCAAGCGUUGUUCGGAAUCACUGGGCGUAAAGCGUGCGUAGGCUGUUUCGUAAGUCGUGUGUGAAAGGCGCGGGCUCAACCCGCGGACGGCACAUGAUACUGCGAGACUAGAGUAAUGGAGGGGGAACCGGAAUUCUUGGUGUAGCAGUGAAAUGCGUAGAUAUCGAGAGGAACACUCGUGGCGAAGGCGGGUUCCUGGACAUUAACUGACGCUGAGGCACGAAGGCCAGGGGAGCGAAAAAGGUUAGAUACCCCUGUAGUCCUGGCAGUAAACGGCCAAAAAAGGGUGUGCGGGGAAUCGACCCCCUGCGUGCCGGAGCUAACGCGUUAAGCGUGCCGCCUGGGGAGUACGGUCGCAAGAUUAAAACUCAAAGAAAUUGACGGGGACCCGCACAAGCGGUGGAGUAUGUGGCUUAAUUCGAUGCAACGCGAAGAACCUUACCUGGGCUUGACAUGUAAUGAACAACAUGUGAAAGCAUGCGACUCUUCGGAGGCGUUACACAGGUGCUGCAUGGCCGUCGUCAGCUCGUGUCGUGAGAUGUUUGGUUAAGUCCAGCAACGAGCGCAACCCCUGUUGCCAGUUACCAGCACGUGAAGGUGGGGACUCUGGCGAGACUGCCCAGAUCAACUGGGAGGAAGGUGGGGACGACGUCAGGUCAGUAUGGCCCUUAUGCCCAGGGCUGCACACGUACUACAAUGCCCAGUACAGAGGGGGCCGAAGCCGCGAGGCGGAGGAAAUCCUGAAAACUGGGCCCAGUUCGGACUGUAGGCUGCAACCCGCCUACACGAAGCCGGAAUCGCUAGUAAUGGCGCAUCAGCUACGGCGCCGUGAAUACGUUCCCGGGUCUUGUACU
rnacentral:rRNA from 1 species